GGAGAGAUGUCCGAGCGGCUGAAGGAGCACGAUUGGAAAUCGUGUGUGCGUUAAUAGCGUACCGAGGGUUCAAAUCCCUCUCUCUCCGCCA
rnacentral:tRNA from 1 species